CAGUCGCCACGGGAAUACGUAGGUGGCAAGCGUUGUCCGGAAUUAUUGGGCGUAAAGGGCUCGCAGGCGGCUUCUUAAGUCUGAUGUGAAAGCCCCCGGCUCAACCGGGGAGGGUCAUUGGAAACUGGGAAACUUGAGUGUAGAAGAGGAGAGUGGAACUCCACGUGUAGCGGUGAAAUGCGUAGAGAUGUGGAGGAACACCAGUGGCGAAGGCGACUCUCUGGUCUGUAACUGACUCUGAGGAGCGAAAGCGUGGGGAGUGAACAGGAUUAGAUACCCCGGUAGUCCCUGUCUCUUAUAC
rnacentral:rRNA from 1 species